rnacentral:rRNA from 1 species
AGUGAACGCUGGCGGUAGGCCUAACACAUGCAAGUCGAACGGCAGCACAGCCGAGAUUGCUCUCCGGGUGGCGAGUGGCGGACGGGUGAGGAAUACAUCGGAAUCUACUUUUUCGUGGGGGAUAACGUAGGGAAACUUACGCUAAUACCGCAUACGACCUACGGGUGAAGGCAGGGGAUCUUCGGACCUUGCGCGAUUGAAUGGGCCGAUGUCGGUUUAGCAAGUUGGGGGUGUAAAAGCCACCCAAGGCGACGAUCCGGAGCUGGUCUGAGAGGAUGACCAGCCACACUGGAACUGGGACACUGUCCAGACUCCUACGGGAGGCAGCAGUGGGGAAUAUUGGACAAUGGGCGCAAGCCUGAUCCAGCCAUACCGCGUGGGUGAAGAAGGCCUUCGGGUUGUAAAGCCCUUUUGUUGGGAAAGAAAUCCAGCUGGUUAAUACCCGGUUGGGAUGACGGUACCCAAAGAAUAAGCACCGGCUAACUUCGUGCCAGCAGCCGCCGUAA